GUUCAAUUCCGGGCUCUGGCUGGGCCGCUCAAGGACAUUGAGACUUAUCCCGAAGUCACUCCUGCGUUGUCUUGGCUGUGUGCUUUAGGGUCGUUGUCCUGUUGGAAGGUGAACCUUCGCCCCGGUCUGAGAUCUCUGGAGCAAGUUUUCAUCAAUGAUCUCUCUGUCCUUUGCUCGGUUCUUCUUUCCCUCAAUCCUGACUAGACUUUCAGUCCCUUCUGCUGAAAAACAGGUGUGUGCCUUUACAAAUCAUGUUCAAUCAAUUGAAUUUACACCGGGUGGACUCCUAUCAAGUUGUAGAUCCAUCUCAAGGUUGAUCAAUGGAAACAGGAUGCACCCAAGCUCAAUUUAGAGUCUCAGCAAAGGGUCUGAAUACUUAUUUAAUUAAGAUAUUUUUUGUAUUUUUUUUGCCAACAAAAAAAUUGCCAGCGUUUCUAAAAACCUGUUUCAGCUUUGUGUCGUUGUGGGGUACUGUGUCUGUCGUUGUGUGGGGUACAGUGUCG
ensembl:lncRNA